rnacentral:rRNA from 1 species
UACGUAGGGGGCAAGCGUUGUCCGGAUUUAUUGGGCGUAAAGAGCGUGUAGGCGGCCAGGUAGGUCCGUUGUGAAAACUCGAGGCUCAACCUCGGGCCUGCAGUCGAUACGGGCAAACUAGAGUACUGCAGGGGAGACUGGAAUUCCUGGUGUAGCGGUGAAAUGCGCAGAUAUCAGGAGGAACACCGAUGGCGAAGGCAGGUCUCUGGGCCACUACUGACGCUGAGAAGCGAAAGCAUGGGGAGCGAACAGG